GCUGUAGCUCAGUGGUUAGAGCAUAUGCCCUGCAUGCGGAAGGCGGCAGGUUCAGUCCCCACUGGCAGCA